GGGGCGGGCCGUGACUGGCGCUGAGGUGGAGCACCACCGGGGAGCGGCCCGUACGACAUGAAGCCGUGCGCCUGGGCGAACCCG
rnacentral:ncRNA from 2 species